rnacentral:rRNA from 1 species
CACCGUCGUAUGAUGCGAUGGGGGGACGGAUCGCGGAAGGUUGUCUGACUGUUGGAAUAGUCAGUUUCUGCUUCAUAGAAGGCGCUUAGGCAAAUCCGGGCGCGUAAUUCAAGGGAGUGGGACGAGGCACUUAGGUGCUGAAGCAAUCGGAAGUGGUUCCAAGAAAAGCCUCUAAGCUUCAGUCAUACGAGACCGUACCGCAAACCGACACAGGUGGGCGAGAUGAGUAUUCUAAGGCGCUUGAGAGAACUCGGGAGAAGGAAC